CCUACGGGAGGCAGCAGUGGGGAAUAUUGCACAAUGGGCGGAAGCCUGAUGCAGCGACGCCGCGUGAGGGAUGAAGGCCUUCGGGUUGUAAACCUCUUUCAGCAGGGACGAAGCGUGAGUGACGGUACCUGCAGAAGAAGCACCGGCUAACUACGUGCCAGCAGCCGCGGUAAUACGUAGGGUGCGAGCGUUGUCCGGAAUUACUGGGCGUAAAGAGUUCGUAGGCGGUUUGUCGCGUCGUUUGUGAAAACCCGGGGCUCAACUUCGGGCUUGCAGGCGAUACGGGCAGACUUGAGUGUUUCAGGGGAGACUGGAAUUCCUGGUGUAGCGGUGAAAUGCGCAGAUAUCAGGAGGAACACCGGUGGCGAAGGCGGGUCUCUGGGAAACAACUGACGCUGAGGAACGAAAGCGUGGGUAGCAAACAGGAUUAGAUACCCUGGUAGUCCACGCCGUAAACGGUGGGCGCUAGGUGUGGGUUCCUUCCACGGGAUCUGUGCCGUAGCUAACGCAUUAAGCGCCCGCUGGGGNGCGCGCAGNAACACAAGA
rnacentral:rRNA from 1 species